CGCUCCCCUUCUUCACUGAAUAGCACUUUGCCGGCGAAACCAGAAAAGCAUAAACUAGAGAGAGGUGACGAAUUUCAACCCCAUGAGGGAUCUAAAGAGGCCGAUCCUCACUGUAUCGACAUGGGUUGGGCGUCAACUGACAGAGAAGAGUCGAGGACUGCCGCCUUGCUGCUGCAACGACGAUCUAGAAGACUGAAAAUUUGAGAAAGCCAAGCGCCUAGCCCUCAACGCCUAGCGCCUAGGACCGCCCAACCUCCGCCUAGACCGCCUAGGCGGCCGCCUGAGACCCCAGCGCCCAAACCAUUUGCCUAGGCCAAAAUCGGAUCGGGCAACCCGCGCCUAGCGCCUAGACGCCGCCUAGGCUGAUUUUUAGAACCAUGGUUGAUAUCGAUCUUCUCGUAGUUUCGAGGAC
rnacentral:lncRNA from 1 species